GAUGAACGCUAGCGGGAGGCCUAACACAUGCAAGCCGAGCGGUAGAGAUCCUUCGGUAUCUUGAGAGCGGCGUACGGGCGCGGAACACGUGUGCAACUUGCCUUUAUCAGGGGGAUAGCCUUUCGAAAGGAAGAUUAAUACCCCAUAAUAUAUUUGAUGGCAUCAUUAGAUAUUGAAAGCUUUGUCGGAUAGAGAUGGGCACGCGCAAGAUUAGAUAGUUGGUGAGGUAACGGCUGACUAAGUCGAUGAUCUUUAGGUGGCCUGAGAGGGUGAUCCCCCACACGGGUACUGAGACAAGGACCAGACUCCUACGGGAGGCAGCAGUGAGGAAUGUUGGACAAGGGGUUAGCGCCUGAUCCAGCCAACCCGCGUGAAGGACGACGGCCCUAUGGGUUGUAAACUUCUUUUGUACAGGGAUAAACCUACUCUCGGGAGAGUAGCUGAAGGUACUGUACGAAUAAGCACCGGCUAACUCCGUG
rnacentral:rRNA from 1 species